GACGAACGCUGGCGGCGUGCCUAAUACUUGCAAGUCGAGCGCAGGAAGCUGACGGAACUCUUCGGAGGGAAGGCAGUGGAAUGAGCGGCGGACGGGUGAGUAACACGUAAGGAACCUGCCUCAAGGAUUGGGAUAACUCCGAGAAAUCGGAGCUAAUACCGGAUAGUUCAACGGACCGCAUGGUCCGCUGAUGAAAGGCGCUUCGGCGUCACCUUGAGAUGGCCUUGCGGUGCAUUAGCUAGUUGGUGAGGUAGCGGCCCACCAAGGCGACGAUGCAUAGCCGACCUGAGAGGGUGAUCGGCCACACUGGGACUGAGACACGGCCCAGACUCCUACGGGAGGCAGCAGUAGGGAAUCUUCCACAAUGGACGAAAGUCUGAUGGAGCAACGCCGCGUGAGUGAUGAAGGUUUUCGGAUCGUAAAACUCUGUUGUAAGGGAAGAACACGUACGAGAGGAAAUGCUCGUACCUUGACGGUACCUUACGAGAAAGCCACGGCUAACUACGUGCCAGCAGCCGCAGUAAAAC
rnacentral:rRNA from 1 species